rnacentral:rRNA from 1 species
UACGGAGGGUGCAAGCGUUGUUCGGAUUUAUUGGGCGUAAAGCGCGUGUAGGCGGUUUCUUAAGUCUGAUGUGAAAGCCCUGGGCUCAACCCAGGAAGUGCAUUGGAUACUGGGAAACUUGAAUACGGGAGAGGGUAGUGGAAUUCCUAGUGUAGGAGUGAAAUCCGUAGAUAUUAGGAGGAACACCGGUGGCGAAGGCGGCUACCUGGACCGAUAUUGACGCUGAGGCGCGAAAGCCAGGGGAGCAAACGGG